rnacentral:rRNA from 1 species
AACGAACGCUGGCGGCAUGCCUAACACAUGCAAGUCGAACGAAGCCUUCGGGCUUAGUGGCGCACGGGUGCGUAACACGUGGGAAUCUGCCCUUCGGUUCGGAAUAACAGUUAGAAAUGACUGCUAAUACCGGAUGAUGACGUAAGUCCAAAGAUUUAUCGCCGAAGGAUGAGCCCGCGUAGGAUUAGGUAGUUGGUAGGGUAAUGGCCUACCAAGCCGACGAUCCUUAGCUGGUCUGAGAGGAUGAUCAGCCACACUGGGACUGAGACACGGCCCAGACUCCUACGGGAGGCAGCAGUGGGGAAUAUUGGACAAUGGGCGAAAGCCUGAUCCAGCAAUGCCGCGUGAGUGAUGAAGGCCUUAGGGUUGUAAAGCUCUUUUACCAGGGAUGAUAAUGACAGUACCUGGAGAAUAAGCUCCGGCUAACUCCGUGCCAGCAGCCGCGGUAAGCUAGUCUACG